AGUGAUGUGAUUGCCUCAUAAUUCUGAAGGAAAAUUAUGUUGAACUUAAAGUUUAAUACCCAAUUAAAUUACCAAUCACUAAAGGACAAAACAAUGACCUAUUCAAGUAGGUCUGAGAAAAUGUUGCUUUCUCCUUUCUCUAAAAUGUUCCUUGGAAAUGUACUACUGCCAAACCAAAAAGGUAUCCAAGAACAGAAAUGUGUGUGUCAAGACCCAGUUGCUAUUGUAGAGAAAUAUUAUAAAAAGAAUUCUUAGAAUCAUAAUGAUGCAGCAGGCCUAGAAAGCAACCACUCAAAAUCAGAAUAGGCAGCCAGGGGUUCACUGUAGGAUGUCCUCAAGUAGAAAGUGAGAUUACUGUAACAGACAGCAUAUUUAGAAAGCUUGCUAUGCUUAGUGAUUUUACAUGAUAGUAUUAUCUUGAGAACUACAAAAAGAGAGAAUGAAACAAAGAAAGAAAAUUAGAAAUACUAAGAAAAAAAUCUGAAAAGGAAGUUAUAAUGUAAAUAUAAAGCAAACUAAAAAGGCAUACUUGUGAGCAAAUAAUGGAAUAUGGUAAAUACUUUUCUUGAAUUUAAUGUUUGUGAUAGUUUCUUUCAAAAAGUCCAGUUUUUGUGUCACAGGAUUACAUUCCCUCCCCCACUUGUCAUUUUACACACUAUGUAUUUCUGCAGCCUUUAAUGUUUACAUGAUCUUAAUAUUAUCAAUGCUGUUUAUGGGUCUUCAGCUUUCAAAAUCAUUUCAUUGAUACACCAUGCAAGUCAAUUAUAGAUUCUGAGAAUAAUGUAUAUCUUACCAAGUUUGAUUAUUUCAGAGUACUGAUAUAGCUCACAUAAAUUCAUAUAGCAGAGCUGGGAGCAAAAAGAGAAGAUAUGUAAGGACGCUCAUUUUUAAAUUUUAUAUCUAACUUUCUUAAGAAGUAGAAAUAGGUACUUCAGUAAGCUGUCUAAUGAUAGAAAGACACGCAAAUAACUAAACAUAUAACUAUAAAAAUCAGUAGACGUAGGGGAGAAUGGCAGGCAGAGACUCACUUGGGCGAGCUGAAUUUGUACCUUUCAAAGUGGGUUGAGGUUACGUGGAGGGAUGGAGAUGCCAAAGCAUAUAUAUGUGUACUGUCAUUUGAAUUAUAUUCCUUCAAAAGGCUCCCAUAGAGCGAAUACCCUUCAAGCUACACAAAACCUACACCUGGCCCUAGAGGUGACGAACUGGAGAUUGAAGAGAUUGAACAAUUUACCUUUAGGGAAAAACCUGGGGAGGCAGAGUUCUGAGAAACUUUUGUCCUUUAAUUUGACUCACUAAUGCUGUUUAAACUCUUGAGUUAUAUAUACAUAUAGCUUGCUUAGCACUGUAAUUUAUUUUGCAUUAUUAAUUAGCAUGUUUUCCCCCUUUCUGUGCUUAUCUUCCUUCAUUAUACUGUAAUCUCAUCUCUCCCCCAUUUCCCCUUUUACAGUCCCCUUUCCUGAUCUUUCGUCCACCAUUCCAAACAACUAGACAUAAAGUCAUUCACUUGGAAAGCAGAAAAUGAAAGCUGCAAAUCCUCUUUUAUUAAUUUGAGUAGACAGUCUUCUGAGUGAAAGACAAUAAUCGGGUGUUAUUUGCAGAACAAGAUUUUUUGUUUGUUUGUUUAUCUUUAAAGAACAUAUUUAAAAAAUACCCAGGUGCUGAUGAGGAGAAUGAGGGUCAGGAACCAUGGUCCAUGAAAAGUGAGAUGAGACACUGAGAUACAUGCUCCAUUGCCGGUGCUGUGGGAGGUUGAAUUAGUGCCUCUUUGUUCUUCAUGAAAAACAAGAUUACCAACAAUGAGUUGUGGUGACAAGAAGCAAUAUGGUAUAGUGGAUAAGAGACUGCUGUGACAUCGUGUAAGCUUGAGUCUGAAUCAUGGCGGAUGCUUAGCUUACUGCUGUAUACUUGGAGCUCAGUGUCCUAUACUGCAAAAUUGAAAUAAUUAGAGUAUGUACUCCAUCGAAUUGUGAUAAACAUUAAAUAAGUUACGAUGUGUAAACUAAAUCUAGUGUCUAGCAUAUAGAAAGUGUUUAUUUGUGUACAUUAUUACUAAUUAUUAAAAACAUGUUAAAAUAUAUUAUUAAAAAGAUAAGAAGCUCAGAUUAUUUGUGUAAAAGCAGUACUCAUUACAGCACAAAGUCCACUAAGAAAUAAGUAACACUAAGAGCUCAAAAAACCAUUAAUGAAUUAACCUGGGCCAAGAAACAGGUGAGCUGUAGAAUGGUGGGAAGACAUAGUUGCAGGAAAUAUGCCAUGCAGUUUGUUCUAUUUCAGUAAAGACAUCUUGAAGGUAUGUAUAAUCACUCUUUGCUAAAACUACUAUGGGAUAGGAAAGGAUAACAUGUUUCUCCCCACAAGCCAGUAUACUGAACUUUUCUCAUUCUCUUUGGCAACUUUGUGUCCUUUUUUUAUUUUCUAUUUCACAAAACCUAGCAAACUAGGGUAGUUCUAUUUAUAAUCAAAUGACCUAAUUUUGAAGGUCCUUCAGGGGAGCUGUAUCAUGACACUAAGCAGGGUGUUUCCUACACAAGUGACAGCACACUUUUUAAUUACAAAUGAAUUCCUUUCAGGCCCAACCUAGCUUCCAUUUCUUUUACUGUAGCCCUGUCCCAGUUCCUAGAAAUGUUUUCUUUAUUCUUCUACACCAUGUGACAUCCAUGUUCACUCUGUAUUCAACUUUUCAUUACUGGGUUCCUUCCAACAAACAAUAUCUCUGUGUGACUCUAAUUCUCACAGUAAAAAUAUGAUGCUUUUCUGCAUUUUCUCAAUUUAUCAACUAUUUUUUCUGUUGAUUGGAAUUUGGAAACACAUAAAUUUUCCAAAAACUGCUGGGAAGGACUUUCCUACAGAAACACUAAUCCCUAUAAUUUGCAAUCCCAUCCUGGAAAGAGGUCACUUGUUUUAAACAGCCAACAAUAUAAACUUGCUCUAUUUUGUAAAACAAUUUUGUCACAUUGUCAGUGGGCUGCUUCAGGUUCUUGACUUAGCCACACAAAAGAACCUGAGUGGAGGUCCAAAGUAAGAGUAGGCAAAGAAGUGUACUGCAAAGCAAAAGUAUACUCAGAGAGGCAGAGUAGGCUGCUCAAAGCUAUUGACAGCAGCUAGUGCCUCAAGAGGGAUUCCUUUUAUGCAAGCUAUUCAUACAUAUUCAUAAAUACCAGUGAGAUUAAGAAUGCACAGGUGGACAUACAGUUGGAGCAUGCGCUCAGUAUCUACAUGCUCUAACAUGAAUCACAUGUGUUAUUAACAUAUAAAAUCUCCACCUGGGGGUGUGCUUUUUACUAUUAAAAGAAGGAAAAUGUCACUGUAAGGUAAAACUCAAGCCUAGCUGCCUAUGUGGGAUGCUGGCAAUGUCCUUAGUUUCCCCCAAGGCAGGAAUUUGUAGCUAAUAGCUUCUUGGGCUUUUGGUACUGACUGGCUGGAGACUGAGGAAGCUAAGGGUUUUUUUUCUCUUCCCCAAGCUAUGUUGGGUAUUAGGCACUUGUAACUACCUGGUGGUCUGCUGGUGUCCUGUAGGACUGCUUAUCUUGCAAAAGAGUUGGGUGCUGAUGCACAAGGAACCCACAGCAAAAGAGCCCACGGGGCUUCACACUAGAGGACAAGGCAGUAUGGCCUCCUAAUCUUACUUAUCCUGCUUCAAUAUGUACAUGUUUGUUGUCACCAAAACCUGUAUGGCUAAUUUCCUUGUCCUCUAAAACCUAGCUUUUGAUGUUCUGAUAGCUUACUGUAGAACAAGUCAAAUCUACUUUCCAUGUCAUCAUGAUUUGCUCAUUAACCUCCAAAGCCCAGGUAUAUACAGAUUUCAGAAAAUGGUGCUUGGCAAGAGAACAUUAAUUUGAAGAAUUGAACCCACAAACAUUAAUUCAUUCUACAAAAAUGUAUGAUCAUAUAAUAAAAGCCAUACAUGCAUUAGAAUUGGGGUCAUAAAAAAAUAGGACAUAGAAUAGAACACAUAUCAUUUGUUUAUGUAACUGAUCAAAGGUUGUUGAUCAGUUACAUAAACAAAUGAUAUGUGUUCCUGUAGAGAGAUGUACAUAAAGUAGUGGGGUGGGAGAGUUUUGGUAGAACUUCAUAGAGGAUAGACCUGAAGGUGAGUAGGAGGAGUUCAUGUGAGAAGAAAAAGGAGAAGAUAUUCGAGCUUCAAGGACUACCAUAUAUAAAGACAUUUCCCUUUAAAAAUCCUUAUGAAAUUUGCUAGGCUGUACAAAGACCUGAUGUGAUCACAAAUGUGUUGGCCAUAGGGUUCUGUGUGGCCAGAGUGAAGUAUACAUUAAGCAAAGCUACCAUUGUUGAGGGGAAGCUGGAGAGAAUUUAUUAUCCAAAGACGAUUGUAAUAGAGCUGCACAGGCGUUGCAUGCCAUUCUAAGUUUAGACAAUCUGUGAGCAGUGGAAAGUUAUUGGAGGUUACUGAAAUUAUUAAAUUAGCUAUGCCUCAUUACAUUCUCCUAUCCAGCAAUUUGAUAGAAGAAGCUUCUGAGGCUGUUCUCUGUGAUUCUUGGUUCUGUUAGUUAGAAAACUGUCAAUUUGAGAAAUUUAUUUAUGAUUCAAUUCUCCUGAUGAAACCGACUUAACUGCUCAAAUUUCAGUUUUGCUGAACAGAUAUUUAUUUAAGAUCUUCCAUAUGUCACACAUUAUUGUUGGUGUUGUGUAUACAAAGAAGGGUAAGGCAGAUGCUCUACCACAGAUGAUUUUGUAGUCAAUGGAGCAACAGACAUCUAAGCAGAUAACACCAGAAAGUAUGUGCAAAACACUGUGAACUUAUCCUAGUUGGGCUUUCAUGGGGUAUUAUGAAAGAUUUCUUAGAUUCUGUCAUAUUUGACUCUUUACUGUGAGUCAUAAAUAAAUCAGAGUCAGAAUUCAAAAGUUAACUAGGAUGAGAACAGGGAGGACACAGAUGCUGAAGUAAUUUCUCUCUCAUCCUGUCUCAUGGUGAAAACAUAACAAAAAAUAUAGGCAAUCCUCAUGUGGAAGCUCUACAAAAAAAUACCUGGUGUCAAUAUCAAAAGUGAAUUAGGAAUUUUAUAAACAUAACAAAAAAAUAGGUGACCCAGAAGUUCUGUGAAAGAAUAGACAGUUUCAAUAUUAAAAGAGAAUCAUAAAUUUUCUGGGGUAAUUUUAGAAAUAUGGCUUUUAGAGUAAUUGGAAUUCAUUAAAAAAUAAACUAUUGAAAUUAUCUACCUAAUGAAGGAACUGUUUCCUACUACUUAAAAUGUGUGUUUCAGGUUAGACACAGCCCUUCUUUGUUCAUACUUGAAUGAUUCUUUCUUCUUGUCACUCAUUCAUUGAAUACAAUACUUCUUCUGGGUAGUCAGUAUAGUCUCAAUUUUUUAAAAAAAUUAAGAAACACAGAGAGGGUAAGUAAUUCACCCAAAGCCACACAGUCAGAGAGUGUUUGAGAAAGAACAAAAUUGAAGUUCCUGACUCUCAACCCAAGAUGCAGUUCAUUAGGCCAUGUAACUUCCUCUUGAAAAUAGUUAUACACACCAUAAGGCUAUUUUUUCUUGUUUUCACAAAACAUGUAGUCACUGUUUUUUAUAUUAAACUCUUGGAAGCUCUGGGAAUAAAUUAGUUUCCUUGAAAACACUUAAACAAAUCUGUCCACGUUGGUUUGUUAUUUUAUGGCUGCUCAUGAAUGUUGGAUUCCUGGCAUUGUUUUUAUUUUUUUUAAGGGAGCGGUGAUUUGUUUGCCUUUACAAAUGUAUGUCUAGAAUGAGAUUGGUUUACUCUGCUGUUUUGUGUAAUAAAACUUUGGCUAUAUUGGAUCAAACACAGUACUAGGAAUGGCUCUAUAUUUGUAGUUUUGCUGUGUAGUAAUCAGUUAUUAUAUUUCCAAGUUUGUUCAAAAUACUCUGACUCCAAGGUAUUUGCAUCUUAUAGGGUAACAUCUUUUUACCUUCUAUUAUAUUCCCUUUAGAGUAUUGGAGCAGAACACAUCUAAAAAGACAAUGAAAAUGAACAUUUUCUAGUUCAUUUUUGAAACAUCCAAGUUAAAUGAGAGGACCCUGGUAUCAUAGCCAAAUAACCUCUAAACAUCAAGUACCUACUUUUCUUGAGCAGAGAUUGCCUUUAUGGUCAUUUUGUUACUGAUAUUGGAUAAAUCAACAAAUAGUUGUCUGUAAUACGUGGUAAUUGUUAGGAUUAUUUCCUCUUUCAUCUUGGAUUUUCUUUUUGUUCCAUACUGCCACCCUUUUCCUUCUCCUCCCUUUCUCGUCUUUCUGAGACUUUUCUUCCUCAUUUCCUCCUCUCUUCUCCUUCUCUGAGCAUCUACCAUAUAGCCGGCCCUUUGCUAGGCACUGGAGGUAGGAAUUUAAGACACGUUCUGUUUACAAACAUCUCAUCAUCUACUGUUGUGGUUUUUAAAAAGGUUUGACUCUCAUAGAAAAGACCAAAAGUUUGCCAACCUCAUUUUCUAACAGUUUCUACUUUUUAGUGAAAAAAGGAAAUGAUGAUAAUGAAGAAUUAGAGAAUAC